rnacentral:rRNA from 1 species
AUUGAACGCUGGCGGCAUGCCUUACACAUGCAAGUCGAACGGUAACGGGCCUUCGGGUGCCGACGAGUGGCGAACGGGUGAGUAAUGUAUCGGAACGUACCUUUCAGUGGGGGAUAACGUAGCGAAAGUUACGCUAAUACCGCAUAUUCUGUGAGCAGGAAAGCAGGGGAUCGCAAGACCUUGCGCUGAUUGAGCGGCCGAUAUCAGAUUAGCUAGUUGGUGAGGUAAAGGCUCACCAAGGCGACGAUCUGUAGCGGGUCUGAGAGGAUGAUCCGCCACACUGGAACUGAGACACGGUCCAGACUCCUACGGGAGGCAGCAGUGGGGAAUUUUGGACAAUGGGGGCAACCCUGAUCCAGCCAUGCCGCGUGAGUGAAGAAGGCCUUCGGGUUGUAAAGCUCUUUCGGCCGGGAAGAAAUCGUAUGGGUUAAUACCCUGUGCGGAUGACGGUACCGGCAUAAGAAGCACCGGCUAACUACGUGCCAGCCGCCGCCGUAACAC